rnacentral:lncRNA from 1 species
GCAACAUCAACCCAUUUUAUUAAUAUAUUAUACUCUUAGCAUUACAAAUAUCCGAAAUUUUAUCCGAAUCCGAACGGAGCAUAUUUAUCCAAUGUUAAACAAAUAUGGUUUUGAAUAUGGAUAUCAAAAACAAAAACCCGACAUAUAUAGAUUCGGAUAUGAAUUUUGACUGUACCCGAGUCGAACCCAAACCCUGCCCCGACUCAAACCCGAUUCGAAUCCGAAUUUAUUUUACAUUAUAUAUAAUAUGUGAGAAUUUAAGUAUCGUGGCACAGGGUCGUGUCGGAAACUUGCCGGCACGGUACGGCACGGUGCGUGCUGACCUGUGCUGAUACGUGUAAGUAAAAAAAAUUCUUGUGUGCCAACAUAUAAUAGUAUAAAAUAUUUAUUUUCUUUAGCAACAAAAUAUUUUAACUAUUUAUUAUGUCUUUUUAUCACAUCUUUUGAACUUUAAUGAGAAAAUUAAUUAUUUACGAAUUUAAAGAAUAGAGAGUUUUGAACUGUACUAUCGGCACGGGGUCUGUAUCGUGCUGGUAUCUUGUUGGCACGGUACAGCACGGUGGAUACGGCCCGUACCGACGGGCACUUAAAACCUUAAUAAUAUGUAUAUAAAGAUGUUAUAUUUAAAUUUAUAUUUUAAAAAUUUAGAUUUAAUGUAAUAUGUUUUAAAAUAUUGAAAAGAGAAAUAAUUGUUUCGGAUUCGAUUUUUCAUAUUUGGGUUCGGGUUUGGAUACGGAUUUUUAAAAUCCGUCGGGUUCGGGUUCGAAUUCAGGUUUCGUGUUUGGAGACGGGUUCGGUUCAAAUUUUUGAAAAUUCGCACCGAAUCCGGACCGUUGACAUUUCUAUUAGUAUUUUAUUUAGUUCAUUUAAUUCUUUCAAUUUAUUUAU